UACGAGUGGUGCAAACGUUAUUCGGAUUUACUGGGCGUAAAGGGUGCGUAGACGGUUUAGUAAGUCAACUGUUAAAUAUUCCGGCCUAACCGGAAACCAGCGGUAGAAACUACUAAACUAGAGGAUGGAAGAGAGAAGUGGAAUUCUCGGAGUAGCGGUAAAAUGCGUAGAUCUCGAGAGGAACACCGAUGGCGAAAGCAGCUUCUUGGUCCAUUUCUGACGUUGAGGCACGAAAGCGUGGGGAGCAAACAGG
rnacentral:rRNA from 1 species